AGAAUCAACGCUGGCGGCGUGCCUAACACAUGCAAGUCGAACGAGAAAGUGGAGCAAUCCAUGAGUACAGUGGCGUACGGGUGAGUAACACGUGACUACCUACCCUCGAGUGGGGAAUAACCUCGGGAAACCGGGGCUAAUACCGCAUAAUGUCUUCGGACCAAAUGCGUAAGCAGCUUGAGGAGGGGGUCGCGGCCGAUUAGCUAGUUGGUGAGGUAAUGGCCCACCAAGGCAAUGAUCGGUA
rnacentral:rRNA from 1 species